rnacentral:misc_RNA from 1 species
CCUCUCUAACAUUUAGUCAUAAACCAAACUCUGCCUCAGUUUAAUCAAAUAUAAAACCCUUAGCGAAACAAAUCACGGCACGUCUCCAAAUACUCAAACAGCCCAACUAAGGAUCAAAAGAAAAGGAGUCAAUGACAAGAUCUCAAGUUGGCAAGUCAAAACACAUUCAUCGAACCCCAUGAUCACAAUCAUAUAAAACAACUAAGAGAACCCAAAACAUGGAAUCCUAAUAAUUUGAACAAAAAUGCACCACAAUAAACCCCGCAUUCACAGAAUCAAGCACAAGCACAGCUUCAACAAAUCCCAGAUCUCUCCCCUAUCCCGAAAACUGAAAGAGAAGCAUGACCCACUAGCCAAACAGUGCUCAAAACGAGAUCAAGACAGUUACAUUAGGCUAAAAAACAAGAAUGUCAAUAAAAGCUGAAGUGUACUGGAGGGACAACAAAACAAUGCUUAC